rnacentral:rRNA from 1 species
UAUGGAGGGAGCUAGCGUUGUUCGGAAUUACUGGGCGUAAAGCGCACGUAGGCGGCUUUGUAAGUUAGAGGUGAAAGCCCGGGGCUCAACCCCGGAAUUGCCUUUAAGACUGCAUCGCUUGAAUCCAGGAGAGGUGAGUGGAAUUCCGAGUGUAGAGGUGAAAUUCGUAGAUAUUCGGAAGAACACCAGUGGCGAAGGCGGCUCACUGGACUGGUAUUGACGCUGAGGUGCGAAAGCGUGGGGAGCAAACAGG